ACCAAGUAUUUUGGGCCAAACCGAGUUCGGGGCCCGAAAUACAUUUUUGGGGUUUAAUUUGGCAUUAAUAUGAUAAUUUUGAAAUCUGAAAUUAUGUUUUAUAUAUGGGUGUGAUGAAAUGAUUAGUUUGCCCUUGGUUGCAUAGAUAUGUUUAUUAUUGGCUAUAGGGGUAUUUUAGUAAUUUGACACUAUGAUGUAAUAUUCAACAAAAUCAAUUUUUGUGUAAAAUGAAAUGUAAUUUUCUGGUUUUGGAUGCCCUAGCCGACCCUCUCCUUCUCCUUCUCAUCUCUUUUAAAAUUUUCUCAUUUAAUUGGAAGAAAAUUGGUGAGGAAAUUGAGUGGUUUUGCAUAAUUGGAGCUUGAGUAAUUGUGGUAAAAACUCGAAGUGGGAAAUAAGGCAGAUCUUUGGGUUACAGGGCUCCUCGCUGCGGCCAUGGUUGGGCUCGCCGUGGCAAAAGCAACCUGUUGUUGCUCCCCGCGACGAGGCCCUAUUUUCUCCAAGAAAUUUUUUGGGUUUUUAUUUUCAUUAUAACUUUUGACUCGAAACUCCAUUUGGGAUGCUCUUUAUAUCGUUAGAAAGCUCGUUCCGAGAUCUAUAUGCCUAUCUAUCUAUCUAUCUAUCUAUGAAUGAAAUGACAAUUAAGUGAUUAUGUGAAGUUGAUUUUUGGGAUUAACCCUAUUUGUGAAAUCUUAGGAAUUGUGACUAGGAUUACCAGCGCUUGUUCAGGAAUACCCGGGGGUUUAGAAUCUCCACAUACUUGAGAUGUCAGGAAAGGGUAAAGUUGUUUGUGAUCAGCCAUGAGUUCGAGGGCUUGGCGGUGGAUUGUACAUGUUCGGGCCAUACUAGACCAUGCGGGUCGGGUCUACCAGCUACUGCAUUUUGUAUUCUCGGUUUUGUCGCUUAGGACGACAUGUAAAACGACUUGUAAAAUUUUGUAAAAAAUUUUAUGGGAUCCCAAAACGUAAGAAAUCUUUUUGGAAUGAUUUGGAAAUUUUAAAUAAUUACAAGUUUAAUUUUUAUUC